rnacentral:rRNA from 1 species
AUGACCAUUCCUUGUAAGCUUGGUGGUGGAGGUCAUGGUACUGUGUACAAAGGAAUUUUGUCAGAUUUGCAUGUUGUUGCCAUCAAAAAAGAUAUCAAGUCUAGCAAUAUACUUCUUGAUGAUGCAUUGACAACAAAGGUGUCUCACUUUGGAGCUUCAAGUUUUGGAGUAAUUCUUAUUGAGUUGCUUACAAGGCAGAUGCCAAUUAUGUACAGAUCAUCUAAAGGUGAUGGGCUUGCUGCACAAUUCAUUGAACUACCUGCAAAAGAUAAAUUGGUAGAAAUAGUGGAUUCACAGGUCAGGGAGGAGGGAGGUAGCCAAGUAGAAGUAGCCGCUCUAGCUGUGUCAUGUAGAAAGCUAAGAGUAGAGGCACGACCAACCAUGAGGUCAGUGGAGAUGACACUAGAAUCCCUUCAAGGACCCGAGGAGCGUGAUCUGCUUAGGGACAAAUUGCAAGCAGAAACAAAUGAGAUGAGUUAUUUGGCAGCAAGACAUACAUCGCUUAUAAGAAGGACAAGCUUGGAGAACAUGAGUAGGCAAUCUAGUCAAGAAGAAGAGUUUGUGUUGUCCGCGAGCUACCCUCGAUAG